CUUGAUGGUGGCUGUGCGUAGGGCGCUUUCGAGCGCGCCGGGUUCCCAAUGUUCCGGUACGACUAACCUGCGUACAGCUGCCUCCCAC
rnacentral:antisense_RNA from 1 species